GACGAACGCUGGCGGCGUGCCUAAUACAUGCAAGUCGAACGAACUCUGGUAUUGAUUGGUGCUUGCAUCAUGAUUUACAUUUGAGUGAGUGGCGAACUGGUGAGUAACACGUGGGAAACCUGCCCAGAAGCGGGGGAUAACACCUGGAAACAGAUGCUAAUACCGCAUAACAACUUGGACCGCAUGGUCCGAGUUUGAAAGAUGGCUUCGGCUAUCACUUUUGGAUGGUCCCGCGGCGUAUUAGCUAGAUGGUGGGGUAACGGCUCACCAUGGCAAUGAUACGUAGCCGACCUGAGAGGGUAAUCGGCCACAUUGGGACUGAGACACGGCCCAAACUCCUACGGGAGGCAGCAGUAGGGAAUCUUCCACAAUGGACGAAAGUCUGAUGGAGCAACGCCGCGUGAGUGAAGAAGGGUUUCGGCUCGUAAAACUCUGUUGUUAAAGAAGAACAUAUCUGAGAGUAACUGUUCAGGUAUUGACGGUAUUUAACCAGAAAGCCACGGCUAACUACGUGCCAGCAGCCGCGGUAAUACGUAGGUGGCAAGCGUUGUCCGGAUUUAUUGGGCGUAAAGCGAGCGCAGGCGGUUUUUUAAGUCUGAUGUGAAAGCCUUCGGCUCAACCGAAGAAGUGCAUCGGAAACUGGGAAACUUGAGUGCAGAAGAGGACAGUGGAACUCCAUGUGUAGCGGUGAAAUGCGUAGAUAUAUGGAAGAACACCAGUGGCGAAGGCGGCUGUCUGGUCUGUAACUGACGCUGAGGCUCGAAAGUAUGGGUAGCAAACAGGAUUAGAUACCCUGGUAGUCCAUACCGUAAACGAUGAAUGCUAAGUGUUGGAGGGUUUCCGCCCUUCAGUGCUGCAGCUAACGCAUUAAGCAUUCCGCCUGGGGAGUACGGCCGCAAGGCUGAAACUCAAAGGAAUUGACGGGGGCCCGCACAAGCGGUGGAGCAUGUGGUUUAAUUCGAAGCUACGCGAAGAACCUUACCAGGUCUUGACAUACUAUGCAAAUCUAAGAGAUUAGACGUUCCCUUCGGGGACAUGGAUACAGGUGGUGCAUGGUUGUCGUCAGCUCGUGUCGUGAGAUGUCGGGUUAAGUCCCGCAACGAGCGCAACCCUUAUUAUCAGUUGCCAGCAUUAAGUUGGGCACUCUGGUGAGACUGCCGGUGACAAACCGGAGGAAGGUGGGGAUGACGUCAAAUCAUCAUGCCCCUUAUGACCUGGGCUACACACGUGCUACAAUGGAUGGUACAACGAGUUGCGAACUCGCGAGAGUAAGCUAAUCUCUUAAAGCCAUUCUCAGUUCGGAUUGUAGGCUGCAACUCGCCUACAUGAAGUCGGAAUCGCUAGUAAUCGCGGAUCAGCAUGCCGCGGUGAAUACGUUCCCGGGCCUUGUACACACCGCCCGUCACACCAUGAGAGUUUGUAACACCCAAAGUCGGUGGGGUAACCUUUUAGGAACCAGCCGCCUAAGGUGGGACAGAUGAUUAGGGUG
rnacentral:rRNA from 1 species